rnacentral:rRNA from 1 species
GGGACGAACGCUGGCGGCGUGCUUAACACAUGCAAGUCGAACGGUGAACCGGGCUUCGGCCUGGGAAUCAGUGGCGAACGGGUGCGUAACACGUGGGCAACCUGCCCCGGACUCAGGGAUAACCCCCGGGAAACCGGGGCUAAUACCCGAUACUCCGGUCGAACCACAUGGCUCGAUCGGGAAAGCUCCGACGGUCUGGGAUGGGCCCGCGGCCUAUCAGCUUGUUGGUGGGGUAACGGCCUACCAAGGCGACGACGGGUAGCUGGUCUGAGAGGACGACCAGCCACACUGGAACUGAGAUACGGUCCAGACUCCUACGGGAGGCAGCAGUGGGAAUCUGCACAAUGGGCGAAAGCCUGAUGCAGCGACGCCGCGUGGGGGACGAAGUGCCGUUCGGUUGUAAACCCUUCGGCAGGGACGAAGCGACAGUGACGGUACCUGCAGAAGAAGCUCCGGACUAACGACGUCGCCAGCACGCCGC